GGAAUCUUGGGAAUGGGCGAAAGCCUGACCCAGCAACGCCGCGUGGGCGAUGAAGGCCUUAGGGUCGUAAAGCCCUUUUGCGGGGGACGAUGAUGACGGUACCCCGCGAAUAAGCCACGGCUAACUACGUGCAAGCAGCCGCGGUAAUACGUAGGUGGCAAGCGUUGUCCGGAUUUACUGGACGUAAAGGGCGCGCAGGCGGUCUGUUUAGUCUAGGGUGAAAGCUCCCGGCUCAACUGGGAGAGGUCCUUGGAUACUGGCAGACUCGAGGGAGGCAGAGGAAAGUGGAAUUCCCGGUGUAGUGGUGAUAUGCGUAGAUAUCGGGAGGAACACCAGUGGCGAAGGCGGCUUUCUGGGCCUACCCUGACGCUGAGGGGCGAAAGCGUGGGGAGCAAAC
rnacentral:rRNA from 1 species